AUCAGUACCGAGCUGGGGUGUUUUCUUUCUAAUAUGGCUUGGCCAGUGGAGGAGCGUGUGUGUGUGUGUGUGUGUGUGUGUGUGUGUGUGUGUGUGUGUGUGUCUGUCUGUCUGUCUGUCUGUCUACGUCCACUUAGGAGCACACCGAUAAGUAGAAGAACCAGAGUUGACUCAAAUGCAUCUACAAGGCUUCUUUCUUUCCAGAGAAAUGAGGGGAAUAAAAACGGAUCCGAAAUAGGUUCCCCAAAGAGGGGUUUGGUGGGGGAGUGCUGUUUGGCUGCUUGGCUGGUUAGUUAUAAGGUCUUGCUAUAUAGCACAGGCUGGCUUGCAGUCCCUUUGUGGCCAUGUUGACCUUGAAUUUGAGAGCCUCCUACAGCUUCCUCCUGAGUGCAGGGAUUACAGGCAUGCACUACCACACCCAAUUUGGGGUUGGGGGUGGCGGGGCAGGGAUCUUAUUUCAACUAAUUCUAGAAAAGGUCGAUGAUGGAUACAUCAGCAUUUGGUAGGGGAGUGUUCCUAAGAACUUGGCAGUCACUAAAGCUCUUCAAUAAUCAUUAUGAAAAUCAUAUCAACAACAGUAAUGAUUAUGGCAAUCACGGUGGCCCCCAUUUUUCAAGUGCUCAUUUUUUUCAGGUUGUCUACACACUGCUUUUCCU